UGGGGAAUAUUGGACAAUGGGCGCAAGCCUGAUCCAGCAAUGCCGCGUGAGUGAUGAAGGCCUUCGGGUUGUAAAGCUCUUUCGCACGCGACGAUGAUGACGGUAGCGUGAGAAGAAGCCCCGGCUAACUUCGUGCCAGCAGCCGCGGUAAUACGAAGGGGGCUAGCGUUGUUCGGAAUUACUGGGCGUAAAGGGCGCGUAGGCGGCCUGUUUAGUCAGGAGUGAAAUCCCCGGGCUCAACCUGGGAAUUGCUUUUGAUACUGGCAGGCUUGAGUUCCGGAGAGGAUGGUGGAAUUCCCAGUGUAGAGGUGAAAUUCGUAGAUAUUGGGAAGAACACCGGUGGCGAAGGCGGCCAUCUGGACGGACACUGACGCU
rnacentral:rRNA from 1 species